rnacentral:rRNA from 1 species
GUAACGGCCCACCAAGGCGACGAUCAGUAUCCGGCCUGAGAGGGCGGACGGACACACUGGGACUGAGACACGGCCCAGACUCCUACGGGAGGCAGCAGUGGGGAAUUGUUCACAAUGGGCGCAAGCCUGAUGACGCAACGCCGCGUGGAGGAUGAAGGUCUUCGGAUUGUAAACUCCUGUUGCCCGGGACGAAAAGCUCUGACCUAACACGUCGGAGUCUGACGGUACCGGGUGAGGAAGCCCCGGCUAACUCUGUGCCAGCAGCCGCGGUAAUACAGAGGGGGCAAGCGUUGUUCGGAAUUACUGGGCGUAAAGGGCGCGUAGGCGGCCUUCUAAGUCGAACGUGAAAUCCCUGGGCUCAGCCCAGGAACUGCGUCCGAUACUGGAAGGCUUGAAUCCGGGAGAGGGAUGCGGAAUUCCAGGUGUAGCGGUGAAAUGCGUAGAUAUCUGGAGGAACACCGGUGGCGAAGGCGGCAUCCUGGACCGGUAUUGACGCUGAGGCGCGAAAGCCAGGGGAGCAAACGGGAUUAGAUACCCCGGUAGUCCUGGCCCUAAACGAUGAAUGCUUGGUGUGGCGGGUAUCGAUCCCUGCCGUGCCGGAGCUAACGCGUUAAGCAUUCCGCCUGGGGAGUACGGUCGCAAGGCUG